CAAAGAUCACGAUGCCAGGUUGGGACAUUCUUGUAUGUUAGUCGGGCAGUAACAUCAAACAUGAUAAUCGCACAUUGUCCAUGGAUACUGCAACAUAAGAUACCAUUUAACACAACAUAAAGGGUUGGUAUCACAGCAUAACAAAUAAAAUUCUUACACACCUUUUCAUUAGAAAAUUUAGGCCUAAAUCAAAUCUAUAAAACAGGCUUGCAAUAUAAACCUAUAUUCUAUAAUUUGACCAACAAUUUCCAGUGGAACAAAUUAAAAAACUAAAUGCAAUAAAUAUAUGAGUGUGUGUGUCUAACAGUCGUCAUACAAAAAAUAAAAACUAAAAAGUGCAGGUAACUUCCAUGCAAACUACAACAUGCAAUCAGAUACACAUAGAAUACUGUUAAAAGAAAAAAAUUGUGGACACAAGACUUACUAGUAUCCAUCCCUGAGACCACCAAACUUCUCCUGUCCAGCAGUAUCCCAGCAAUAGAAUCGAAUCUUUCCACAAUUAGUGAAAAAAUCCAACGGGUGAACCUCCACACCAAUUGUUGCUGUUGUGAAAAAGCAAAAUCAAGAUAAACAAGAAGUUUGAUUUGAAAUAAAUGUUAAACACAAAACCUUAAUCUUAAUUAUAAACUAAUCUUACGUUCGUAUUUCUUCUCGAAUUCCCCAGUAAGAUGCCUUUUCACAAAGGUUGUCUUUCCUGGAAAUUUCAUCACAAAUAAGUUCACAUGCCAAGGUAUAACCAGAUCGCUACAACAGAAUAACCUUUAAUAACUGAAAACACAGGCUAAAUGGUGAAAAUAAGAGUGAGAAAAAAGAAGAAGAAAAGAUAACCUGUGCCACCAUCGCCGACGAUUACGAGUUUGAAACUCGGGUAAUCCACAGUUUGCUGAUUGGGCAAAGCCUGCAUCGAAAAAGAUGAAGAAUAAACGGAAGUGCGAAAUAAAAGUGGAAAGAAAAGCGUUGAAAGAAGAGUUCAAUAGCAUAUAGCAUACCAUGGAAUGGGAAAUGUAGCUACGCUGUGUUGGGUUAAAGGUAAUGAACGAGAAAUGAUCAAAGAGAUAUGGGUUUGUGAGAGAAAACACCCAAGCGAGGGUUUAUAUGGUAAGGGUUUGAAGUUCCGUAUUUUGAAUGAACGCGUUACCCUAACGCAACGGUGUCCACCCUCUGAUUACGCUCACUUUAAAUUUGAAUUCAAUCUUUAACUGGGCUCGGCCCAACGCAUAAGCUCUCUAGACUUCUUCUUGAUUUUAGAUAGAUUCUCACUGCACCAUAUCAUAUUCUAUUGACACCAAUAGGUUAAUAUGGAAUUACUGUUUUACCCUUAAUGAAAUAAAAUUAGAUUAAAUUUUAGAUGCACCAACACCUAACACUCUCCACACCGCAUUCAUUCUUCCGGAUCAUUCAGGCAAGGGCGAAAUUCAACAUAUUCGAAAUUCCAUUCACCAGCGUUCUUAAGUCAUGACAACGACGACAGUAGCGUAACGAAAAGGAGGUGUAGUUGACGGAGGAGGAUACGCAGUAAAAAACAAGUAAUACAAAAUGGUAAAGUUAUAUAUAUGUGGAAGUGUUUUUAUGUGUUCUAUAAGUGUAUAUCCAAAGGGGUUGUAGAUGAUUAUGUCUGAAAGGAUUUUUUAUUUAUUUAUUGUUUUCAGAUAUAGAUUGUAUGGGUUUCGGAUGAGAAAAUCCAUAAGGUAGUGUUUUCAAGUGAUUCUGAAUGUGGAAAUAUAAAAGUUAGUGUAGGUGAUUUUUUUUAAUUAAUUUUAUCGUAUUUUAUGAUUAGGAACUUGGUGAGAACUAGAGGAGAAUUUUAUUUUUAAUGUGGACCAUAUGCGACCAACUACAUAUGUGAGAAGAAGGUGUGGUAGUUAUAAUACUUUAGUUAUAAAUAAGAACUUUGAAGAUUAUAUUAAACCAGAAAAAGCUUUGUGUGGAAAAGAAUACAAGUAAGCCUGAUGUUAGCACGAUGAGCAAUGUAUGACAGAGAUGUGUAUGUCAUAAGACAUUCACGUAAGAAUGAUUGAUUAUGUAUUAUAACAUUUGUUGUAAUAUUUUUAUCCAAGAAUGAUGUUGUUUGAACUUGAUAUUUAAGUAUAACUUAAUUUUGUUUUGACCAUAUAAAUACAUUUUAAUGUUGAUUUUACUUAUAUUAUUUUAAAUUGGUUUGGUUUAGAGGGUUUUAAUCCAUUAAAAAUACCAAAAUCAUCACACACUGUAAAACAAAAAAGAUGAGAAAGAUUGAUUUCUAGAGAUGUAUAUACGAAAGUAUGGUGGUACCUUCCGAAUAAAGAUGUCCAUAGUCAAAUAAUACAAUUUUGAAUGACGUAGAUAAACAUGACACUUUUUGAUACCAAUAUUAGUAGGCAAAACUAACACUUCCGAAUGUUAAUAUCCAUAAGUAAAUAUGUGACUUCCGAAUAUUAAUAUUCGUAUACAAAUAUGUGACAAAGAGAAAAUUGGAUUUAAAAACUUACAUAGGGUGUAUAUAAAAAAUAUAUGGUGGAGGGAUAAAUUGCCUUGAUUUUAUUAUUAUUGGGUCAAAAUAUUCUGGUUCCCUGAUUUUAUUUUAUCAACUUCGGAUUUUUAAGCCACUAAAAAAAACUUUGGAUUCGUUUGGGACAUAGUAUCGGCAAUUGUUUUGCGUCAAAUUCUUCCAGCACCUUAUAAAUUGUGACCCGCACCAAAACUUUUUUAAAUUUCCAAAAUUAUCUUUCAUUUCAAAACUGAAAAUUCGAAAUUUAAAAAAUAUAUUCUGAAAAAUAAAUCUAAAAUAGAAUUUUAUGUUCUGAAAAUAUAUCUAAAAAAAAUCAAGAUCACAUUUAAAAAAAUAAUUUUAGAAUACGUAUUCUAAAUCUAGAAAUAUAUUAUAUUUUUUUCAUUUUACAUAUAAAAAAUUGUAAUCCGAUUCAACUAAUUUCUUUGCGUUGCUUUGGUCGUUAUCGUUAUUAAAAAGAACUGGAUUUCAUCAUUUCUAAAACACUGAUUAAAGAUUUAUCAAUUUAAAAAAAAGGGAAAUACUUUAAAUUAUAUUACACGUUAGUCAUGGAUCCCACACCUUAAAGCUUUCUUUCUUAAUUUCUUGUUUUUUAAAAUACUGUAUUUUAUUUUAUCUUAGGUUAUAUAUAUAUAUAUAUAUAUAUAUAUAUAUAUAUAAGGAGUGUUUCCUAAUUACUUCCAUAUUUUCCUUUUUAAAUGACAGAUUUUUAACAUGUUUUGUUUUAAUUUAAUUAUUUUUUGAUAAUUCAAUAAACAUUUUUUUGUCAAUUGUACAUUUCAUCCCACCCAAAUUAUAAUUAAUUUACAUAUAUUUAUCAUAAUGUAGAAAUAGAAAAAAAAAAUAUAAUUAUUUUACUUUUUAGGUUUUGCCCAACAAACUUUAAACAUAAUAUUAAAAGCAAGAAAGUGCAUCAUAAUGUCCUUAAUCUCUGCUUUUGCAGUAAUAUGCUUUCUAAACAAAUUAAAAGCCACUGAUCAAAUGUACCAAAUGCAGCACGAUCCUACCCUUCCAAUAUCACAUGCAAUGCUGUGGAAGCUAAAUUGGACUAAUUUUCUCAGAAUCAAUUCAUCUAUUGAUAAAUCAGUUUGAAUUUAUUUUUCAAAAUUUAAGCGUUAAAUAAGUUUAUACAUACAUAAAAAAAACAUUAUAAGCUUUAAAGAUAAAAAAAUUACUGGCGAUAAAAAUUACAAGAACGAUACACUAAAAGGUACAUAAAUUAAAAUAUAACCAUAUAAAUAACUCUAGACGAAAUAUAUUAUAUAAUUUUUAAUUUUAUUUUAUAACAUACCAGUAUUUAUAUUUAUUUAUUGUUUUAAAUUGUAAUUUAAUAGUAAUAGUAAUAUAGUUAUGUAGUUAUAUAAUCACAAAUCAAAUAAAACUAAUAAACCAGAAACCACUAUCUUACCAAUUCAACAACAAAUUAAUAAAACCACAAACCAAGAUUUGGCGCGCAUGACGAUGAACCUAUAAUUCUAAUUCAUUAAAUAAUCACUCGAGUUCUCUCAAAAAAUAGUCAUAAAUUUAUCUAAACUACAUAAAAAAAAUACAGUUUUAAAACCAAUUAAAAUUAAGUUAUUUGAUUUUCUCAUAAAUUCGACUGUUUUUUCUAAACUAAUUUUACAAAUAUAAACAAUCACAAAUUAGUCUUUUUCCUAAUUUCUGAAAGGAUAAUUACGAUACUAUUUUACAUUAAAAUGACGUAGUUUAUGUUCUGUGAAAAUCAGACCCAUUAUUCUUAUUUCUAUAGAUCUAAAUAAUAUUAGGGAGCCUAACUAUCACUACAAAGCAAUCAGUUUUAAGUUUAAAAAAAAUGUGUACUGUGAAAUGCAACCAAUUUCUUCACCGUUGGAUAAUAACUGAAUCAAAUAGCACAGCCUCGUGUUUUAGAAGACAAAAAUAAUUGUCCAAGCAACCAAUCCACAUCUUAAAAACACCCACAAUAUAGUAAAAAUGAGAUUUAAUUUAAGCAACGGAUCUCGGAUUAUAAUUGAAUUCAGAUGUCGAAUUCAAAUCCAAAAAUGUCAACACUGCAACCCCCAAAAUUACUUCAGUAGCAUACAAUACCAACGAUAAGGAUGACAUUCCAUAAACACACUACAUUGAUCCUCUACUCAAAAGUGUCAUCGUCAUCGUCAGGAAGGGGCUGACUGGCAGCUGCAGCAAGCUCAGCUUCAUGCCUGCAAAAGUCACCAACACAUUAAUAUAAGAAACAAUCAAAUCAAAUGAAAACAAUAAUAAAUGUAAAAGACCUUCAUGAAACAAGCAGUGCAUUUGUGGAAUUUAAAACAUAUGAACGAGAUGUCGAUGUUGGCAGGGAAAGAGUAUUAUUGGAAACAAUUCCCAUGCCCCAUGAUUAAUUAAACUUAACAUUAUGGGAGUCACUUUUAACUACAAUUCUCCUCACUACCUACAAUCCACUUUUAUAAAGCAUUUUUAACUCAACGCAAUUUGGCAAUCAUAAAACAUAAAAGGGUGAUGGAAUCGGAGAAACGAUGAUGAAGCUCAUGGACAGAUGGACUUACUGUUGUUGUGCAGCUAAAUCAAUUUGAACUUCAGGUGGAGCCAAUGCAGGAGAUUCUACAAAGUGCAAGUUAGGAUCCCUGCAGAAAUGUCCCAAGUAGCAAAACAUAAGUUGACAUGCAUUUUAAAACGUGUAAAUAGAAAUUAUGAAGUGCAAACUCUGGCUAUACCCUGCAAGUUUACGAGCAAGAUACAAGAAUGGCUUCUCAAAGUUGUAGUUACUCUUAGCUGAGAUCUCAUAAUACUGCAAGUUUUUCUUCCGGUGGAAAGUAACCUGCUUUGCCUUCACCUGCCUGUUCUUGACAUCAACCUUGUUACCACAAAGAACAAUUGGGAUGUUUUCACAGACCCUGAAAAAUCAUUCAGACAAAAAUUGCUCAUGGUGUCAAAAAACCACACAAUUCCAAAAAUUGGAGACAACACAUUCAAAAUGGCUUAGAUGAUUUCAUUUACGAACCUGCAAAGAUCACGAUGCCAGGUAGGGACAUUUUUGUAUGUUAAUCGAGCAGUAACGUCAAACAUGAUAAUCGCACAUUGCCCAUGAAUACUGCAACGUAGAAUACCGUUAAACACAAGUAAUAGGAGUUUGCAUAACUGAAGAAUUCAAUAAAAACUUAGAGACACUUCCAGGGGCACAAAUUAAAACCCUCAUGGUAGAAAUGAGAUUCUAUACAUCUAAACACAUUAAACCUAACAGAAAUAAAAACUACGAAUACUAGUAACUACCAUACAAAGCAACAACGCC
rnacentral:lncRNA from 1 species